rnacentral:lncRNA from 1 species
ACUGACUCAUACAAGAUUUUGGGUGUUUAUUCAAAAGCAUCAGCACGUAGUGCGAGCAUAGUGAAAGACUCAACUGAAUAGCAGGGGAUUGAUUGCAAAUCCCUUUUAUCUGCCAAUCGCCUCUUCACUUAGGAGGUCUUUACAUGUAACCAUGCCUCAUUGAGGUCUUUAGCACAAAAUUAAACAAUCAAGAACAUGGCCUCUUAAGGAGGGCUUCAGACAGGUGUCUGCCAAAAGAGGGCAGGUCUUCC